rnacentral:rRNA from 1 species
GACGAACGCUGGCGGCAGGCUUAACACAUGCAAGUCGAACGAGAGAAGAGAAGCUUGCUUUUCUGCUCUAGUGGCGGACGGGUGAGUUACACGUGAGCAAUCUGCCUUUCAGAGGGGGAUACCGCUUGGAAACUAUCGUUACUACCGCAUAACAUAAUUGAACCGCAUGAUUUGAUUAUCAAAGGUUUAUCGCUGAAAGAUGAGCUCGCGUCUGAUUAGCUAGUUGGUAAGGUAACGGCGUACCAAGGCGACGAUCAGUAGCCGGACUGAGAGGUUGGUCGCACACAUUGGGAGGGAGACACGGCGCAGACUCCUACGGGAGGCAGGGGUGGGGGAUAUUGCACAGUGGAGGAAAGUAUGAUGGAGCGUUGGCGCGUGAGGGAAGAAAGUUUUGGGAUGGCAAACGUCUGUAAUAAGGGACGAAAAAAGACGGUACCCGAGGAAGAAGCUCCGGCUAACUCCGUG